UACGUAGGGUGCAAGCGUUAAUCGGAAUUACUGGGCGUAAAGCGUGCGCAGGCGGUUUUGUAAGUCUGUCGUGAAAGCCCCGGGCUCAACCUGGGAAUUGCGUUGGAGACUGCAAGGCUUGAAUCUGGCAGAGGGGGGUAGAAUUCCACGUGUAGCAGUGAAAUGCGUAGAGAUGUGGAGGAACACCGAUGGUGAAGGCAGCCCCCUGGGUCAAGAUUGACGCUCAUGCACGAAAGCGUGGGGAGCAAACAGG
rnacentral:rRNA from 1 species